GACGAACGCUGGCGGCGUGCCUAAUACAUGCAAGUCGAACGCAUUCUCUUUCACCGUAGCUUGCUACACCGAAAGAAAAUGAGUGGCGAACGGGUGAGUAACACGUGGGUAACCUGCCCAUCAGCGGGGGAUAACACUUGGAAACAGGUGCUAAUACCGCAUAAUUCCAUUUACUGCAUGGUAGAUGGAUGAAAGGCGCUUUUGCGUCACUGAUGGAUGGACCCGCGGUGCAUUAGCUAGUUGGUGGGGUAACGGCCUACCAAGGCUGCGAUGCAUAGCCGACCUGAGAGGGUGAUCGGCCACACUGGGACUGAGACACGGCCCAGACUCCUACGGGAGGCAGCAGUAGGGAAUCUUCGGCAAUGGACGCAAGUCUGACCGAGCAACGCCGCGUGAGUGAAGAAGGUUUUCGGAUCGUAAAACUCUGUUGUUAGAAAAGAACAAGGAUGAGAGUGGAAAGUUCAUCCCUUGACGGUAUCUAACCAGAAAGCCACGGCUAACUACGUG
rnacentral:rRNA from 1 species